AACAAUCCAUCUCACCCUUUUGUGCAUCACCGCGUGNGCUCCCUUCUCGGAGGGGGCUCGUCUGCUUUUCACACAAACCCCCCUUUUAAAAGUGUAUGUAAUGACCUCAUGUAUGCGUUAACCCGCAAUCAAUACAACUUUCAUAGCAAUCGGAUCUCUUGGCUCUCGCAUCGAUGAAGAACGCAGCGAAAUGCGAUACGUAAUGUGAAUUGCACGAAUUCAGCUGAAUCAUCGAAUCUUUGAACGCAGCCUUGCGCCCCUUGNUAUUCCGAGGGAGCACACCCGUUUGAGUGUCGUGAAAACGCUCAACCUCCUUGGUUUCUUCUGGAGACCAAAGCAGGCUUGGACUUUGGAGGCCUUUGCUGGCACCUCUCUUUCUGAAGGCCAGCUCCUCUUAAACAAAUUAGCAGGGUCCUCUUUGCUGAUCCUCGACGUGUGAUAUGAUGUUUCCAUGUCUUGGUUUCUGGCUCUGUCACCUUUGGACCUGCUUCUAACUGUCCGGACCUUGCGUCGAGACAACGUUCGAGCAUGUGCCUCCCUUCUUGGAAGCUCCCUCGACCCCACGAACCCUUGACCUCAAAUCGGGUGAGACUACCCGCUGAACUUAAGCAUAUCAAUAA
rnacentral:rRNA from 1 species